AAUAGAUACCCCGGUAGUCCAUGCCGUAAACGUUGGGCACUAGGUGUGGGACCCCCUCAACGGGUUCCGUGCCGUAGCUAACGCAUUAAGUGCCCCGCCUGGGGAAUACGGCCGCAAGGCUAAAACUCAAAGGAAUUGACGGGGGCCCGCACAAGCAGCGGAGCAUGUUGCUUAAUUCGAGGCAACGCGAAGAACCUUACCUGGGUUUGACAUGUACGGAAAAGCCACAGAGAUGUGGUGUCCUUUUGGGCCGUACACAGGUGGUGCAUGGUUGUCGUCAGCUCGUGUCGUGAGAUGUUGGGUUAAGUCCCGCAACGAGCGCAACCCUUGUCCUAUGUUGCCAGCGGGUAAUGCCGGGGACUCGUAGGAGACUGCCGGGGACAACUCGGAGGAAGGUGGGGAUGACGUCAAAUCAUCAUGCCCCUUAUGCCCAGGGCUGCAAACAUGCUACAAUGGCCAGUACAAAGGGCUGCUAUACCGCGAGGUUGAGCGAAUCCCACAAAGCUGGUCUCAGUUCGGAUUGGAGUCUGCAACUCGACUCC
rnacentral:rRNA from 1 species